rnacentral:lncRNA from 1 species
GUCCUCUUGGCAGGGAUGGGCCCUGGGAUGUCAUAUUUGUUCUGCAAACACCGUUUUCCUGGACAUAGCAGAUGAAGCAACCAGAGUAUGCCAUGGGAUGUGGGACCAAGAGACUGACUGUGUGUCAAUCUCUUACACAUCUGUAAGUUCAGGGCUGAAGGCAGCCAUGUUUCUCCUCAUGUGCACAGAGAAUCGUGGGGAGCCGAUCUGUGGAGAGAGAAGGAAAUGUGCAGAGACUGAAUCCAGACAGCCUUUUAUCUCCUGUUCUCUGGUCUCUGAAACUCCCCAUAUCCCUAUGAGGAAGCCUCCAGGAUUCCUCACUGGAAAACAUCUAUUUUGACCGUGUAUUCAGAAAGCUGCAAAGGAAAGUCAAGUUUACUCAUAUUCACUGAACAUCUGCUACUGGCCUCAACUUUCAAAGAGCAUCUGAUACAGCAGCAGAAGUGUCAAGAGGCAUUGGUUCAAUAGUGAUGGGCUAACAAAAGCCAACCUGACGUAAUUGGCCAAGAACUUUUGUAGCUUGUGAGUCACCUCAGUAGGGAUGGAACAAGAGGAGAAUUAUAGUGAAACAAAAAUGCACUGAUUCAGCUGAAGCUCUCAUGAACAUCGGGAAUUUUCCUUUCUGGCUCACUUAACUUGGUAACUUCCACUGCCGUUGUCCAUUAACACUAUUGAACCAGGGGUUUGUUAAAAGAAGCCUGUCUUUGGUCAGAGUCCCCAGCUUAAGUCAGGGGUAAUGGAGGAGGAAGAGACAUGAAGGACUGGAGGCCCAAUUUACAGUGAAAGGCAAAGUGAGUUACUCAGGAAAAUGGACAUUUAGUGGGCAGUAGAACCACCAAUGGCUGCAUUUGAGAGAGUUUGGGGAAGUUUUGAGAGAGAAA